rnacentral:piRNA from 1 species
UGAAAUCGUCGCUGACUGGGUGGACAGGA